AGGACGACUCACCGGACGGGAUUUCCAAAAUGUUUCAGGACACCGAGCAGACGAUGGAGUGGUCCUUAGGCCGAAACAUUUGGUCACCAAUUCCAGGAAAUCAGUCGUCUGUUGAGAUAUAAACGCCAGUAUCCACUGUUGGUCUCAUACAUCGUUUGACAAGUCGAAGGAACAACACAGAGGCGCCCAUUGUUGAAUUUAGCAGACGACAUAUUGCAACCAGACACUCUCGUCUCGUCUUACUUGAAACGUUCUGUCAAGAUGAACAAGGUCUUCCUAGUCUUCCUUUUGAUCUCGGCCCUCGUCAUGCAGGAAACUUUCGCUGUCCACGCUGGUCGACGGGGCAAUAACGGAGGCGGUGUCAGCCGUGGUGGUUUCGGUGGUGGUUUCGGCGGGGGAAGUAGUCGAGGCUCCAGUAGCAGCAGCGGCCGCAGCGGAGGAUUUGGGGGAAUGGGUACGGCGAGCAGGCGGAGGAGGAGUGUGGACGCCCAGAGAAUGGCUCUUGGAGACCUCAUCAAGCAUUUGGAACAACAGAGCUAAACGGAAUGGUUGGAUGAACAGUGCGUUUGACUGCCUUUGCAUUAGACCAUAUUGGACUGCCUUUUUAAAAUGUUUCACCAUUUCGAUGUUCUGACUGUUGAAAAAUUCGUUCCAAGGAGUCCCCUUCUCCAUUUGCUGUAAAAUCUUGUUUAUCGAGCAUCGUUCAAGGUUAUCACCUACCCCCUACCCCCUUUCUAAAACCAACGAUCUCAACUAAGAGAGACUGGUAUCUGAAGUUAAUAUAUGAUGGUCCUUGCCGACAUGUUGUAUUGCAUAUAUUGAGGUAGAGGAACCAGUCACAGCUGAACAAGGCCAUGCAGAGGGGGAACUAAAUAUAUGGAAAUUUUGCCGUAUUUUUAUGUUUCAUUGUACAAAUGAAUACAAUGUACGUACAUAGUUUCUCAACUUGGCUUGCGAUUAAAUGUGGGACUGGUGAAA